rnacentral:rRNA from 1 species
UACGUAGGGUGCAAGCGUUAAUCGGAAUUACUGGGCGUAAAGCGUGCGCAGGCGGUUUUGUAAGUCAGAUGUGAAAUCCCCGGGCUUAACCUGGGAACUGCGUUUGAAACUACAAGGCUAGAGUGUGGCAGAGGGGGGUGGAAUUCCACGUGUAGCAGUGAAAUGCGUAGAGAUGUGGAGGAACACCGAUGGCGAAGGCAGCCCCCUGGGCCAACACUGACGCUCAGGCACGAAAGCGUGGGGAGCAAACAGG